GACGUAGGGGGCGAGCGUUGUCCGGAUUUAUUGGGCGUAAAGAGCUCGUAGGCGGCUCGUUGCGUCGGCUGUGAAAACCCGCAGCUCAACUGUGGGCUUGCAGCCGAUACGGGGCGGGCUGGAGUUCGGUAGGGGAGACUGGAAUUCCUGGUGUAGCGGUGAAAUGCGCAGAUAUCGGGAGGAACACCGGUGGCGAAGGCGGUUCUCUGGGCCUUACCUGACGCUGAGGAGCGAAAGCGUGGGGAGCGAACAGG
rnacentral:rRNA from 1 species